GGACAGGUGGCCGAGUGGCCGAAGGCGCUCCCCUGCUAAGGGAGUAGAUCCCAAAAGGGUCUCGAUGGGUUCGAAUCCCUCCCUGUCCG
rnacentral:tRNA from 1 species